rnacentral:rRNA from 1 species
UGGGGAAUUUUGCGCAAUGGGGGAAACCCUGACGCAGCAACGCCGCGUGCGGGAUGACGGCCUUCGGGUUGUAAACCGCUUUCAGUAGGGAAGAACAUCGACGGUACCUACAGAAGAAGCCCCGGCUAACUACGUGCCAGCAGCCGCGGUAAUACGUAGGGGGCAAGCGUUAUCCGGAUUCAUUGGGCGUAAAGCGCGCGUAGGCGGUUGCCUAAGCGGGACCUCUAAUCUUAGGGCUCAACCUUAAGCCGGGUCCCGAACUGGGUGACUUGAGUGCGGUAGAGGAAAGUGGAAUUCCCGGUG